rnacentral:rRNA from 1 species
UACGUAGGGUGCAAGCGUUUGUCCGGAAUUAUUGGGCGUAAAGAGCUCGUAGGCGGUCUGUCGCGUCGGAUGUGAAAAUCCAGGGCUCAACCCUGGACCUGCAUUCGAUACGGGCAGACUAGAGGCAUGCAGGGGAGAACGGAAUUCCUGGUGUAGCGGUGAAAUGCGCAGAUAUCAGGGGGAACACCGGUGGCGAAGGCG